UGGGGAAUAUUGCACAAUGGGGGAAACCCUGAUGCAGCGACGCCGCGUGAGCGAAGAAGUAUUUCGGUAUGUAAAGCUCUAUCAGCAGGGAAGAAACUGACGGUACCUGACUAAGAAGCACCGGCUAAAUACGUGCCAGCAGCCGCGGUAAUACGUAUGGUGCAAGCGUUAUCCGGAUUUACUGGGUGUAAAGGGAGCGUAGACGGAUAGGCAAGUCUGGAGUGAAAGCCCGGGGCUCAACCCCGGGACUGCUUUGGAAACUGUUUAUCUAGAGUGCUGGAGAGGUAAGUGGAAUUCCUAGUGUAGCGGUGAAAUGCGUAGAUAUUAGGAGGAACACCAGUGGCGAAGGCGGCUUACUGGACAGUAACUGACGUUGAGGCUCGAAAGCGUGGGGAGCAAACAGG
rnacentral:rRNA from 1 species